rnacentral:rRNA from 1 species
UCAAGUUAUUAAGGGUGCAGGGCGGAUGCCUUGGCACUAGGAGCCGAUGAAGGACGUGAUAAGCUGCGAUAAGCUUCGGGGAGUUGCACGUAAACUUUGAUCCGAAGAUUUCCGAAUGAGGAAACUCACUUAGAGUAAUGUCUAAGUAUCAUUAAGUGAAUACAUAGCUUAAUGAGGGGAACUCAGGGAACUGAAACAUCUAAGUACCUGAAGGAAGAGAAAGAAAUUCGAUUCCGUAAGUAGCGGCGAGCGAACGCGGAUUAGCCCAAACCAAUAAAGUUUUCUUUAUUGGGGUUGCGGACAUAUCAUAACGAAGAGGUAUCGUAAUUGAAGAGGUUUGGAAAGACCCACCACAGAAGGUAAUAGUCCUGUAUGUUAAACGAGAAGACUUUAGAUAUGAUCCAGAGUACCACGGGACACGUGAAACCCUGUGGGAAGCAGGAGGGACCACCCUCCAAGGCUAAAUACUACCUAGUGACCGAUAGCGUAUAGUACCGUGAGGGAAAGGUGAAAAGAACCCCGGGAGGGGAGUGAAAUAGAACCUGAAACCCUGCACUUACAAGCUGUGGAAGCACAUUUCUUGUGUGACCGCGUACUUUUUGUAGAACGGGCCAACGAGUUACGUUAAGUAGCAAGGUUAAGCACUUAAGGUGCGGAGCCGUAGCGAAAGCGAGUUUUAACUGAGCGUUCAGUUACUUGACGUAGACCCGAAACCGGGCGACCUACCCAUGAGCAGGAUGAAGCGAAAGUAAAAUUUCGUGGAGGUCCGAACCCACGAGCGUUGAAAAGCUCGGGGAUGACUUGUGGGUAGCGGUGAAAUUCCAAUCGAGCCCGGAGAUAGCUGGUUCUCCCCGAAAUAGCUUUAGGGCUAGCCUCAAGGUGAGAGAUACGGAGGUAGAGCACUGAAUGUCCUAGGGGGUAUUGCACCUACCGAAGACUAUCAAACUCCGAAUGCCGUCAUCUUAUACUUGGGAGUCAGACUGUGGGUGAUAAGAUUCAUAGUCGAAAGGGCAACAGCCCAGAUCGUCAGCUAAGGUCCCUAAAUGUAAGUUAAGUGGUAAAGGAUGUGGGAUUGCACAGACAACCAGGAUGUUGGCUUAGAAGCAGCCACUCAUUCAAAGAGUGCGUAAUAGCUCACUGGUCGAGUGAUCCUGCGCCGAAGAUUUCCGGGGCUAAAACUUACUACCGAAGCUACGGCAUCAUUAUGAUGGGUAGGGGAGCUUCCCAUACGGGUUGAAGCAUGACCGUAAGGACAUGUGGACAGUAUGGGAGUGAGAAUGUUGGCAUGAGUAGCGAGAUGUGGGUGAGAAUCCCACAGGCCGUAAACCCAAGGUUUCCAGGGGAAGGUUCGUCCGCCCUGGGUUAGUCGGGACCUAAGCUGAGGCCGAAAGGCGUAGGUGAUGGACAACAGGUUGAUAUUCCUGUACUACCGAUAACCGUUUGAGAGAAGGGAUGACACAGUAGGAUAAGCUAAGCACACUGUUGGUUAUGUGUGCCCAAGCAUUGAGGCAGUCAAAGUAGGCAAAUCCGCUUUGAUAAUGCUGGGAUGUGAUGGGGAGCGAAAUUUAGUAGCGAAGUAGCUGAUUUCACACUGUCAAGAAAAGUCUCUAUCGAGGUUAAAGGUACCCGUACCGCAAACCGACACAGGUGGGUGAGGAGAGUAUCCUAAGGCCAGCGAGAGAACUGUUGUUAAGGAACUCGGCAAAAUGACCCCGUAACUUAGGGAUAAGGGGUGCCACCAUCAGGUGGCCGCAGAGAAUAGGCCCAAGCGACUGUUUACCAAAAACAUAGGUUUCUGCUAAGUCGCAAGACGAUGUAUAGGAGCUGACGCCUGCCCGGUGCUGGAAGGUUAAGGGGAUCUGUUAGAGCAAUCGAAGCAGUGAACUUAAGCCCCAGUAAACGGCGGCCGUAACUAUAACGGUCCUAAGGUAGCGAAAUUCCUUGUCGGGUAAGUUCCGACCCGCACGAAAGGCGUAACGAUUUGGGCACUGUCUCAACAACAGACUCGGUGAAAUUGUAAUUCCGGUGAAGAUGCCGGAUACCUGCGACAGGACGGAAAGACCCCAUGGAGCUUUACUGUAGCUUGACAUUGGGUCUUGGUACUACAUGUACAGGAUAGGUGGGAGGCUUUGAAACCAGGACGCCAGUUUUGGCGGAGCCAUCCUUGGGAUACCACCCUUGUAGUACUGGGACUCUAACCAUAGGCCAUGAAUCUGGUCUUGGGACACUGUCAGGUGGGCAGUUUGACUGGGGCGGUCGCCUCCCAAAAGGUAACGGAGGCGCUCAAAGGUUCUCUCAGUACGGUCGGAAAUCGUACGUAGAGUGUAAAGGCAAAAGAGAGCUUGAUUGCAAGACAUACAGGUCGAGCAAGGAUGAAAAUCGGACUUAGUGAUCCGGUGGUUCUGCGUGGAAGGGCCAUCGCUCAACGGAUAAAAGCUACCCUGGGGAUAACAGGCUUAUCUCCCCCAAGAGUCCACAUCGACGGGGAGGUUUGGCACCUCGAUGUCGGCUCAUCACAUCCUGGGGCUGUAGUAGGUCCCAAGGGUUGGGCUGUUCGCCCAUUAAAGUGGUACGCGAGCUGGGUUCAGAACGUCGUGAGACAGUUCGGUCCCUAUCCGUCGCAGGCGUAGGAAAUUUGAGAAGACCUGUCCUUAGUACGAGAGGACCGGGAUGGACGUACCUCUGGUGUACCAGUUGUUCUGCCAAGGGCAUGGCUGGGUAGCUAUGUACGGAAUGGAUAAGCGCUGAAAGCAUCUAAGCGCGAAGCCAACUUCAAGAUAAGAUUUCCCACCGUAAGGGUAAGACCCCAGAAAGACUAUCUGGUUGAUAGGUCGAAGGUGUAAGUGCAGCAAUGUAUUUAGCUUAUCGAUACUAAUAGGUCGAGGACUUGACCAA